rnacentral:rRNA from 1 species
GGUGAACGCUGGCGGUAUGGAUAAGGCAUGCAAGUCGAAUGGGUUUAGACCCAUGGCAGACGAGGUAGUAACACGUAGGAACGUCCCCGGAAGUCGGGCAUAACCCAUCGAAAGGUGGGAUAAUUCCCGAUGGUCUCGUAAGAGUAAAGAUUUAUCGCUUCCGGAGCGGCCUGCGUAAUAUCACGCUAGUUGGUGAGGUAAUGGCUCACCAAGGCUAUGACGUUUAGGGGACCUGAGAGGGUGACCCCCACCGAUGAAACUGAGACACGGUUCAUACCCCUACGGGGGGCUGCAGCCGAGAAUAUUCGACAAUGGACGAAAGUCUGAUCGAGCGAUACCGCGUGGUGGAUGAAGCGCUUCGGCGCGUAAACACCUUUUAUGGAGGAGGAAGUCAUUGACGUUACUCCAUGAAUAAGGGGCUCCUAACUCUGUG